AGAGAUAAGUGCUGAAAGCAUCUAAGCACGAAACUUGCCCCGAGAUGAGUUCUCCCUGAGACUUUAAGUCUCCUGAAGGAACGUUAAAGACGAUGACGUUGAUAGGCCGGGUGUGUAAGCGCAGCGAUGCGUUGAGCUAACCGGUACUAAUGAACCGUGAGGCUUAACCUU
rnacentral:rRNA from 1 species